CCUUAGGGGUUUUUUUCCUGUUAGACUUCUGGCUAGAGUCCACUAAUCUUCUGGUACCUGAUCUGGCCAAAGCCUGACUAUAACCUGCUCCAG
rnacentral:pre_miRNA from 14 species